rnacentral:rRNA from 1 species
GUGGGGAAUAUUGGACAAUGGGGGGAACCCUGAUCCAGCCAUGCCGCGUGUGUGAAGAAGGCCUUUUGGUUGUAAAGCACUUUAAGCGAGGAGGAGGCUACCGAGAUUAAUACUCUUGGAUAGUGGACGUUACUCGCAGAAUAAGCACCGGCUAACUCUGUGCCAGCAGCUGCGGUAAUACAGAGGGUGCAAGCGUUAAUCGGAUUUACUGGGCGUAAAGCGCGCGUAGGUGGCCAAUUAAGUCAAAUGUGAAAACCCCGAGCUUAACUUGGGAAUUGCAUUCGAUACUGGUUGGCUAGAGUAUGGGAGAGGAUGGUAGAAUUCCAGGUGUAGCGGUGAAAUGCGUAGAGAUCUCGAGGAAUACCGAUGGCGAAGGCAGCCAUCUGGCCUAAUACUGACACUGAGGUGCGAAAGCAUGGGGAGCAAACAGGAUUAGAUACCCUGGUAGUCC